GGAGGUGUAGCUCAGUGGUAGAGCGUUUGCUUUGCAUACUCACUUCCUGUAUGCGAAAGGCCCAGGGUUCGAUCCCCUGCUUCUCUA
rnacentral:tRNA from 1 species